CCCUUAGAUGUUCUGGGCCGCACGCGCGCUACACUGAUGCACUCAACGAGUCUUCGCCUUGACCGAGAGGUCUGGGAAAUCUUUGAAAUUGCAUCGUGAUGGGGAUAGAUUAUUGCAAUUAUUAAUCUUCAACGAGGAAUCCCUAGUAAGCGCAUGUCAUCAGCGUGCGUUGAUUACGUCCCUGCCCUUUGUACACACCGCCCGUCGCUCCUACCGAUUGAAUGGUCCGGUGAAAUCUCGGGACGGCGGCUUGGUCGCUUGCGUCCGACUGCUGAAACUUGAUUAAACCAUAUCAUUUAGAGGAAGGUGAAGUCGUAACA
rnacentral:rRNA from 1 species